rnacentral:rRNA from 1 species
AACGAACGCUGGCGGCAUGCCUAACACACGCAAGUCGAACGAGACCUUCGGGUCUAGUGGCGCACGGGUGCGUAACGCGUGGGAAUCUGCCCUAGGGUGCGGAAUAACUCGGAGAAAUCCGUGCUAAUACCGCAUAAUGUCUUCGGACCAAAGAUCUAUCGCCCUGGGAUGAGCCCGCGUAGGAUUAGCUAGUUGGUGGGGUAAAGGCCUACCAAGGCGACGAUCCUUAGCUGGUCUGAGAGGAUGAUCAGCCACACUGGGACUGAGACACGGCCCAGACUCCUACGGGAGGCAGCAGUGGGGAAUAUUGGACAAUGGGCGAAAGCCUGAUCCAGCAAUGCCGCGUGAGUGAUGAAGGCCCUGGGGUUGUAAAGCUCUUUUACCCGGGAUGAUAAUGACAGUACCGGGAGAAUAAGCUCCGGCUAACUCCGUGCCAGCCGCCGCAGUAACAC